ensembl:snoRNA U3 Small nucleolar RNA U3
AAGACUAUACUUUCAGGAAUCAUUUCUAUAGUUCGUUACUAGAAAGGUUUCAAUAUUACUCAGCCAUAAAAAACAAUGAAAUUGAGUUAUUUGU